CCUACGGGUGGCAGCAGUGAGGAAUAUUGGUCAAUGGGCGCGAGCCUGAACCAGCCAAGUCGCGUGAGGGAAGACGGUCCUAUGGAUUGUAAACCUCUUUUGUCGGGGAGCAAAAGACGCCACGCGUGGCGUUCCGAGAGUACCCGAAGAAAAAGCAUCGGCUAACUCCGGGCCAGCAGCCGCGGUAAUACGGAGGAUGCGAGCGUUAUCCGGAUUUAUUGGGUUUAAAGGGUGCGCAGGCGGAAGAUCAAGUCAGCGGUAAAAUUGAGAGGCUCAACCUCUUCGAGCCGGUGAAACUGGUGUUCUUGAGUGAGUGAGAAGUAUGCGGAAUGCGUGGGGUAGCGGUGAAAUGCAUAGAUAUCACGCAGAACUCCGAUUGCGAAGGCAGCAUACCGGCGCUCAACUGACGCUCAUGCACGAAAGUGUGGGUAUCGAACAGGAUUAGAUACCCGGGUAGUC
rnacentral:rRNA from 1 species